rnacentral:rRNA from 1 species
GAUGAACGCUAGCUACAGGCUUAACACAUGCAAGUCGAGGGGUAACAAGAGGAAAGCUUGCUUUUCUUGUUGACGACCGGCGCACGGGUGAGUAACGCGUAUCCAACCUGCCUAUAACUAGGGAAUAACCUUGCGAAAGUAAGACUAAUACCCUAUGAUUUCCUUUGAUGACAUCAGAUUAGGAAUAAAGAUUUAUCGGUUGUGGAUGGGGAUGCGUCUGAUUAGCUUGUUGGCGGGGUAACGGCCCACCAAGGCAACGAUCAGUAGGGGUUCUGAGAGGAAGGUCCCCCACAUUGGAACUGAGACACGGUCCAAACUCCUACGGGAGGCAGCAGUGAGGAAUAUUGGUCAAUGGGCGGAAGCCUGAACCAGCCAAGUAGCGUGCAGGAUGACGGCCCUAUGGGUUGUAAACUGCUUUUAUACAGGAAUAAAGUUAGCCACGUGUGGUUAUUUGUAGGUACUGUAUGAAUAAAGACCGGCUAAUUCCGUGCCAGCCGCCGCCGUAA